AGCAGCCGCGGUAAUUCCAGCUCCAAUAGCGUAUAUUAAAGUUGUUGCAGUUAAAAAGCUCGCAGUUGAAUUUCGGGGUUAGUAGGUUGGUCGUGCCACUGGUACGUACUGGUCUCACUGAUUCCUCCUUCCUGAUGAACUGUAAUGCCAUUAAUUUGGUGUUGCAGGGAAACUGGACUGUUACUUUGAAAAAAUUAGAGUGUUUAAAGCAAGCUAACGCUUGAAUACAUUAGCAUGGAAUAAUGAAAUAGGACGUUCGAUCCUAUUUUGUUGGUUUCUAGGAUUGACGUAAUGAUUAAUAGGGAUAGUUGGGGGCAUUAGUAUUCAAUUGUCAGAGGUGAAAUUCUUGGAUUUAUUGAAGACUAACUACUGCGAAAGCAUUUGCCAAGGAUGUUUUCAUUAAUCAAUGAACGAAAGUUAGGGGAUCGAAGACGAUCAGAUACCGUCGUAGUCUUAACCAUAAACUAUGCCGACUAGGGAUCGGAUGAUGUUAAUUUUUUAAUGACUCAUUCGGCGCCUU
rnacentral:rRNA from 1 species